rnacentral:lncRNA from 1 species
UGGUGGUGUGAGUUGAUCCCUUGCUUAAUCUUGGUAGAAGCAUGAUAUUUUGUAGGGUUUGGGGAUUUUUGAUCGAUUGUAUUCUUCUUUGGCUACCAAAUUUUUAGUUUAUGGAGUUCUAUUCUCGUGAUAAUAUGAAUAGGAGUUGGGGUUAGUUGGGCAGGGUCGGGUACCUGGUGGGUAUACCAAUUUUAAAUGGGAUGGGUUUGGGACUUUUGGUUUAUGUCAUAAUUGGGUUUGGGAUGGGUUCAGAUGGUAAGAUUUUAUUAUGGGUUUGCAAAUUUUGCAGAUAC